GACGAACGCUGGCGGCGUGCUUAACACAUGCAAGUCGAACGAAGUGGCGAACGGGUGAGUAACGCGUAAUCAACCUGCCCUUCAGGGGGGGACAACAGUUGGAAACGACUGCUAAUACCGCAUACUGAUUGAGGGGGUUUCGGCGGAGUAGCUAGUUGGAGGGGUAACGGCCCACAAAGGCGCUGAUCAGUAGCCGGGAUGAGAGGAUGAACGGCCACAUUGGGACUGAGACACGGCCCAGACUCCUACGGGAGGCAGCAGUGGGGAAUCUUCCGCAAUGGACGAAAGUCUGACGGAGCAACGGCGCGUGAGUGAUGACGGCCUUCGGGGUGUAAAGCUCUGUUAAUCGGGACGCGGUACCGGAAUAGAAAGCCACGGCUAACUACGUGCCAGCAACCGCGGUAAUUC
rnacentral:rRNA from 1 species